rfam:Bordetella genomosp. 9 strain AT17164, complete genome.
AAGACGAAUCGGGCAGUCGCGGUGCGCCACGCGCAUCGAGGAAGGUCCGGACUCCACAGAGCGCGGUAGCGGCUAACGGCCGUCCGGGUCCGCAGCGGGUUUCCGCGGCGGGCUCGAGGAAUAGGGCCACAGAGACGAGUCUGCGGAGCGGGCGCGGAUGUCCGCGCACAGGCACGGCGACUCCGUGUCGCGCGAUCCGGUUUUCCGGGGCGCGGCGCCGCAGGGUGAAACGCGGCAACCUCUACCGGGAGCAACAUCAAAUAGGCAUGCGCGCGGUCUUCGGACCGGAAAGGGCGGCUCGUCCGAGCAUGCGGGUAGAUGGCUAGAUCCGGUCAGUAAUGGCCGGGCCAGAGGAAUGAUUGCCCGCCGGGCUUGCCCGGCGUACAGAAUCCGGCCUAUAGAUUCGUCUUGCCU